GACUGGAUAGCCUAGUGGUUAAGGCAUCACAUACAAGUUGUGUCCCACCUAAGGGUCCUUGGUUUGAAUCCAAGUCUAGUAACCA
rnacentral:tRNA from 1 species